UAUAAGCAGCGAAAUCUGAAAUUGCGCAAGUGGUUGGAGAUACGGAGAAGAUGAAUAAGUCUAAGGUUGAGAUAUGCUCGACGAUACUGGAAAACCAGAAAAAGCUUGCUGCCUUGGAGUCUGAUUCAUCCAGACUUACGCAGGUUCUGAAAUCAUGAUGGUGUUUCUGUUAACAAUUUUUGAAGUGGUACAUGUAUGGAUUACUGUGUUUUGUGGACCAGUUGGUGCUGGAAAAUCAUCACUUUUGUAUGCAAUACUUGGAGAGAUUCCCAAGAUUUCAGGAACUGUUAAUGUCGGUGGCAAUCUUGCCUAUGUUUCACAAUCUUCAUGGAUACAAAGUGGAACAGUUCAAGAUAAUAUACUCUUUGGCAAGCCAAUGGACAAAACAAUAUAUGAAAAGCAAUUACAGCUUGUGCUUUAGAUAAGGAUAUCAAUGAUUUUAGCCAUGGUGAUCUUACAGAAAUUGGUCAGAGAGGGAUUAACAUGAGUGGAGGACAAAAGCAAAGGAUUCAACUAGCUAGAGCAGUCUACAAUGAUGCAGAUAUCUAUCUUCUCGAUGAUCCUUUCAGUGCAGUUGACGCACAUACAGCUGCAAUACUAUUCAAUGACUGUGUCAUGACUGCUUUAGGAGCGAAAACGGUCAUUCUAGUUACUCAUCAAGUGGAAUUUCUUUCAGAAGUUGAUACUAUCUUGGUAAUGGAGAAUGGAAAAGUUAUUUAAUCAGGUCGUUAUGAAAAUUUCCUGACGGCUGGAACAACCU